UACGUAGGGGGCAAGCGUUGUCCGGAAUCAUUGGGCGUAAAGAGCGUGUAGGCGGUCCGGUAAGUCGGCUGUGAAAGUCCAGGGCUCAACCCUGGGAUGCCGGUCGAUACUGCCGGACUAGAGUUCGGAAGAGGCGAGUGGAAUUCCUGGUGUAGCGGUGAAAUGCGCAGAUAUCAGGAAGAACACCAAUGGCGAAGGCAGCUCUCUGGGACGGUACUGACGCUGAGACGCGAAAGCGUGGGGAGCGAACAGG
rnacentral:rRNA from 1 species